rnacentral:lncRNA from 13 species
GUUUUUGUGUUUUUAAUCUUUGAAAAUAUAUCAGCAGGCUAGAUUGGAGUUUUUUAUAUAAAAGUCCUCAAAACAGUGCCUAUGUAAAUCUGUUUGUCUCUUCUUUUUUAAAAAACAGAGACUUUCCUACUUCUCAACUAGAAAUGUUCAAAUGUUUCUAUCCAUGAAUGUGAUGUUUUGUAGGGAAUCUCUUAAGAAAGAAAUACACUGCAUGAAGCUGUUGGAGGAAGGAUCAAGCACAUUUGUUUUGACUGUUCUGACUGCUUGCACAAGAUUCCUGGUUACUCUGUAUGCACAGCUACUAUACAUGAUGAGGGAAAUGACUCCAGUCUCUAACAGAUAUGCAUGUUUGCAUCAUUAUGGAGAAUCACAAAAUUAAAUAGGAAUAUGCUUCAUUUUCCUAUGACCUUCUGCUGACCUGAGAAUUACUGGGAUUUGUAUAACUUGAUGUCAAAUGAUAACAUAUUCUGAUUUAAAAGUCACUAACUCUGCUAGCCAGCCUCCAAGAUGGCCCUUAAUGAUCUCCACCUCCUGGUAUUCAUAACUUUGUAUUAUUCCCUUUUACACUGUACCAGCAUUAGUCCUAUUUGACCAUGGACUAUGGCAGAAGAAAUGGUAUGUCACUUGUAACGUUACAGCUUUUCUCUAUCUCUUUCAUCACUUAGCAAGCUGCAGAAUGAAGACAGUGUCAUAUUCUGCAGAUAGGUCCGUGGUUAGGAAAUGAGGCCUCCUACUGAUAGCCAGGAAGGAACUGUCAGCUUAGAGAGUGGAUCCUCCAGAUCGAGUCAGACCUUUGUUUGAAUGUAAGAAUGAAUUACAUUGUAUGAUGUUUUUCCUCUUUACUUAACAGUUGGAGUUGACGUCCAUCAUCUGUACUUUAACUUCAUAAGAGACUCUAAGCUAGAGCCAUCUCACAAGGCCACUUCCAAAUUCCUCAGGGCAGAAAUUGUGAGGUGAUAAAUACUUGUUGUUUUAAGCCACUAAAUAUAGUAUGAAUUUAAUAAUAAUAGAAAACAAGUGCAUAUACCAUGCAUACAGAAUUCUACAUCAGAUUAUGCUUGAAAACGGAAAAGUUGUGAUUUGAGACAAGAAACAAUUACAGAAAGUUGAAGUUUACUAUACAAAUACAUUUAAGAGGACACAUGACCUAACCUCAACUAACCUGACCCAGUUUGUUUGCAGGCAAACCUGAAUUAAAU